ensembl:lncRNA
GGAAAGGCACUGCAGGUCCCGCUGGUCCCAGAGGCCACGGGGGCGGCAGGGCGCCCGCCUCACUUGCCCUUCUCCUUCCUCUUGCUCCGCCUCUGGCCAGUCAGUUCGUCCAGCUUCUUGUCCAGCCUCCUCUGCAGCUGGGCCCGCUUGGCGGGGUCCAGGGACCUGUCCUUGGUCCCACUGCCGGGUAGAGGACCCCUUCCGGCUGAUCCUCUGCGGCGUGGCGCGAGCCCUCUCCCCACAACCAUGGACCUGGGGGACACAACAGGCAGUGCUGGGCCAGGAGUGGGGACAGGCGAGGCCCCAGUUCCACCCACACAGCACUCGGGGCCACGAAGCCCCAGCAUCGCCCUCGGAGGGGCUCCCUGCUCUUUCCACAUGCUGACUCUCACCCACGGGCUCCCAGUGUGGGGUCGGGGGCAGGAAGGGUCCAUGCCCUGGCAGGGCUGGUGGCUAGAGCCCCAAAUGCUUCCUGCCCCUGCCUUGGGCUCAGCACAGACCCUCCACCAAGCAGGCGGCAGUGCGGGCGGGUACCGUGCCUCCCGGCAGGGCAGGGUCCCAGGGGUCACUCACACGCACAGGCCCAGUCUGUAUGCGCACGACACACACACAGGCCCAUGGUUUGCCCGAGCCCACCAGCCCAGGAUCUGGAGGCAAGCCGCCACUCUCCCCAGGGCCGCGGACCUCGGGCAGGUGGUGGCUGAGGCAGUAGCGGUGGCGCAGUGCAAGCAGAGCUGGCCCAGGGUCACGGCUGGCCGUGCACUUGGCGAAGCCGCAGGUGUUGUCCGCCUUGAUGGCAGCCAAGACCAGGGCAUCAAAGUCCUCCUCAGCGGGCAGUUCUAUGGCCGCGGGUCCUGUCAGGGAGACAGGCGUCAGUCACCCCAGCAGGCGAGGACAAGGAAGUCGGAUGCCAACUCCCACAGGGCCCAUGUCUGCCCGUCGAGCAGCCUGGCCCGACCCCUGCCCUCAGGGCUGCAGCGUGUGAGCAGGCAGCUGAUGGAGCAGGUCCCUCACGAGCCCAUGGCCCUCACCGGACAGCGCAGCGGAUGGUGCAGCUGGGAGCGUCCGGAAGGGCCGGCAGACAGGGCGCGUGCCUCAAAGCUCACCGCACAAAUCCAGAGAGCAUUUAAAUAUGAGCAUAUCCUCGUUGCUGACUGUAAAUUCAAAUCCCCAGACUAACCCUGCCAUCCAGGGAAAAACAGCAUAUUCGUUCACGGCCCAGCGUAAGGAAACAUAACACCUAUAACCAGACAGUUGUGUGGAUCCUUUAAAGUUGUAAGGAAACGCUCAGAAGGGGAAGGAGACUAUAAUCCCUAAGCGGCGUUUUAAUUCUGGCGGCUUGAAGAAGCACCCGCGGCUCCAGCUCCUGGUGUGGGCGCCGACUCCAUGAGGCACCAUUCUCACAUGGUCACCACCCACACCCCACCCCAAAGGAGGACCAUCCUGCGGCCACGCCCGUGCAGUCACGUGUUCUGGCGUGGUGGAGGCAGGAGUCGGUGUCCGCUCCCGUGGGGGUGGGGACAGCCUCCUGUCCCCAGCACAGAGACCGCACACAGGGGCCGCUCACGACAGGAGCCAGCGCAGACAGGCCUGAGGCGGGGUCUGGGCUGUGCUUCCCAGGGCUCAGGGCCCGGGAAGAGGACCAACCCACAGCCUUGCCUGGAGGGACGUGGCUGUGACAAGGCUCAUGCAAAAAGCCAGGCCGUGCCCUGGACUCUCAGCUUCAGCGUGACACUGCGUCGGGGUGGGUGGCGGGCGGAGCAAACUGACCCCGGUGCCCGGCGGAGGCCAGCGUGGCACAGAGCGUGACGCAGGAGCACACGGCCCUGCCGGGACCCCAGAGCUCGUGGAAGGAGUGUCGGCGUGCAGGUCGCCGUGACCCUCUGUGCGCCCGGGCCCUGCCAGCGCGGCUGCUCCUCUGGCCCUCUCCUGCAGGAGGAGCUCCGGUGGCCCGACCGGACCCUAUACUAGGCCCUGAGGACAGAGGCCGCUGAGGCCAGUGUGGUCCCGGGGCUUAGGGUUCAAGAUCCAGGACCCAGGCAGGGGCCCCAGGGGGCGCCUUGCUUCUUCAUGGUGGCAGGUGGGCCUCACCCUCCCAGUGGAGGGCGCCACGCCUGUGCUCCCACGAGCCAACUUACCUCUGCAUCUUUCUUCUUCUUCUUUUCUGGUAACUUGCGGGCGCAGGGCCGGGGCUCGGGGCCCCUCCUGGCCCGCUGCUCCUGCUGGGCCCCGCCCUCUGCAGUCUCUCCAGGUGCAGCGCCUUCAGGUCCGGCUGGUCCCGGCCGCUCGAGUCCCUGACAGGGCUCCGGCUGCUUGCAGCUGGGGUCUCCGGACGCAGAGGGGCUCUGCCAUCGGGCCCAGGUGGGCGGCGCCUCGGGGGUGGGCGGGGCCUCUUGCUCACCGUGAUGAAGCGUUCCCUCCCUUCCGGUGCUGUCGUGCCUCAGCCCGAACUCCUCCGCGAUCUGGUGGACCCGCAGCCUGUCGUGCGGGUUCAGGGAGGCAGGAACUCCAGCUGCGUCUUCUCACUCUCCACCAACUCCACAAUCGCGGCCCUGAAGCUGUCUGCGCCGUCUCUGCUCCGGCACCCUCCCAGCCGCCGCCUCCAUUGAGGCUGGGCUGAGGCUGCGGCUCAGAGGAGCCAAGGCGCCCGCUCGGCUUCUUCCGGCCCGGCCCGGUCCCAGGGGCCCUCCUGGCUGUCGCGGCAGAGCCCGG